AGCAACGGUGGCGAUAGCGGUGGCGGAUUGUCAGUAGUCGAGUGUGUGGUGCACGUUUUUAAGUCGCGUUCGUGUCUGGCCUAGUGUGUGCGCGCCCGUGACGUCAAACAUAGUUCCAGCAUCGUUUUCCGAAAGUUUUCCCCCGGCCGGUUGUUUUUUUCUUUCCGUUCGAAUAAUGUAACAGUUAUUUCUGGUUGACUUUCAAUCGACGGCAAAAUAUUACACGGCCGUUUUUCCACCAUAUCCGAUCGCAGAGUACGACUGCUGCAGCGGCGUGCGCUAUGUGUACAAUAUAAAUAUUGUGGUCGACGUGUUAAACGUUGAAAGCGGUUCAUUAAGACGGCUGUGACGGUGGUAAUCUAAAAUUAACAUACACAUUAAUACGAUUCCGAGCCGUCUACAUCGUAUAUAAUAUAUCCGUCCGCAAAUUGUAAAAACACUGCUAAAGAGUGCAAUAAAAAACACCGAGGCUUAAGAUAAUAAUCGCAACAAAAAACAAAAACAUUCCCACCGCAUAAACGUCUUUUCUUCGAGAUUGUCAAUUCUUGUCCACGUGGGUUUUUAUUGACAUCAUAUCGUUACAUAAUCAUUAUUAUUGCUAUUAAUGUUAAUUUUCCAAUUUUAACCCUCCGGGCUUUUUUACCAUUACCAUGAACGCCGCUGCCAGCAACAGCAGACGGUCGGCCGACUGUUGUUGUCGCCAUUGAUUCGCACGAAGACCAUGCAACGUCCCAACCAGUCGACAUGUGAAUUAAUGACAAAAUUGCCUUAUUGUGCCACCAUCCGACCCGUCAAAUUUCAGUGUUGUGUGCAUGGUGGUAACUAGUGCUAUUGAGAAACAUUUACGAUCAGACAAACACAAAUUAUCUGAUCAUGCUGCCGCUUCAAGUUCACCGUCUUCUAAGAAUUUUGCAUAACAUUAUUAACGGAUGCUUCAAACCAUGGCUCUACAAAUUAUUCCCUGUUUUAGUCCACCACGUUUUACCAUACGGAGGAGUACAAGUAUAGAUUUUAGAGUUUCAAGAGCAACCAGGCGAGUUAUCGGAUAUAAUUGUGGAUUGGAAACAAGUAUUGACAAAAAAAUAAGCUGACAUACAAAAUUGUGGCAUUUAGUAGAUACGAUACAAUACUGUAAUUUUGGAGGAAAAAUAGAAAAGGAUUUAAUAAUGUUAACGCGCAUCUGUACAGGUCUCUUUGAAAGACGCUCAUAGGAAUUGUAUGCAGAGCUCACAUAUUCAAAAUGCGGUCAAAACAGGUGCAGAUUGUCUACCUGUUAAAAUUAAGUGCAUAAUUGUGAACAUUUAUUUAUUUUUCUACAUUUAUAACAUUUGUGUUUGUAGCUCUUAAUUACUUCUGUGAUGCAGCUGACACAGAAUAUAGAAAACUUCUGGGCUACAGUAAAACUAGAUGGCGUGCGUUAAUGCCCGUACUGGAAAGUUUUAAAAAUAUUUUAGCCGUUAAAAAAAUAUUUUCUGAGCAUUGAUAAAUGCCCGAAUAUAAUUUUAAACAAAUUUGAAAAUCCCAUCGUUGAACUAUGGUUAUUUUUUAUGCACGCACAGUCAGCCACUUUUCGCCAAGCGGUGUUAAAGGUCGAGUGACAAAACGUGUUUGCCACAGGGGACGUGGAUGAAAAAUAAAAUUCACGUUAUUAAAAUUUACAAGCGUCGUCCCGCUCUGAGGGGAAAAAAUUAUGGUCACGUUUUACAAAUAUAAUAUGUAUGAAGAACAAAUGUUAAUGGAUAAACGAAAUAACAUAACUAUUAUUAUAAGAUAUUUUUAUUAUUAUGUAUAAAUCUACUACUACUGAGACGAUUCAUAUGUGACCGAUGCACGCGGUUACACGUGCUUGUUUUGCACUCGACAGAUUUUCGAGAGUAUACAAUAUCGAUGCCCUAUCAAUAUUAAUUUUUAAAAUUGACGGGUUUUGGCAGACAGUAUACAUUUCUUGUUUACCGUCUGCGCGUUGGAAACCGGGCAAGUUGCCUGGUCACCCUGUAGAAUAAACUGUUGCUGUGUGAUACAGGGUGACGCUAGGCGGCGUCGGUUAAACGUGUGGGUGUUAUAUAUUUUGGCACACUGUUGUUCUAACACCCGAUCGUUAUCUUCUCAAUCUCACUCCCACUACUUCCCCCUCUAUCUCGGCCAUUACACUAUUUUUUCUCCGUCUCGCCGUGCCGUUUACCUAACCGAGAAAAUGCCCUCGGCUAUUUUCGAAGUCUAGUGCUAGUCGCGGUUACGACGAGACAUUUUCAUUUUCAUCAACGCAUUUUAUUAUCGUUAAUAUUCUAUUGAAACUCCGAGACCUGCGAAUACGCGCCCGCGGCCUAUUUUUAUUUCAUUCCAGGAUAUUUUUGUAUCAAAUGUACAUAGUAUAAUUACGCAUAUGCGGACGGCUCGUUAUUUUUAGACGCCACCGAUCGACCCGACUGAUUUCCCGGCCGCAGUAUUGAAUAACCCGUACUAUUUAAAUUGUUUUUAUUUUUUUAUUUUUUUUUUUCCUUGUCAAUUAAUUUCUUUGUCGAUCGCCUAUUGGAUUACAUAUUUCGGAACACUAAUGCAAUUUCGUAGCCGCGGUUGUCGUGUCGUGAGUGCGUUUUCGCGGUUCCCGAUAUCAAGAUGAGCGGUGAUCCGUGCGGUUCCCGGAUACCGGACAGUGGCGACGGGGAGAAGCCUCGGAAAUGCAGCUUCAAGCUGAUACCGAGAAAAAAGAAAAUUAAAAAAACCGGUCGGAUUAGCAUAGGCGACUGCGGCGAAGUGAUGGUCAAGACUUGGG